rnacentral:ncRNA from 1 species
UGUAGUCCAACUUUGUGAAAUAAAUCGAGAGUUGUGGAAUAAGUGGGAAUCAUUUUUGGCACAAAUGAAAUACCACUACUUUUAACAUUAUUUUACUUAUAAUUUUGUGGGCGAAGAUGGGGAAAUUACCCUAUUUGUUUUCCUUAAGUCAUGUUUCGAUGGGUCGAUUUGGGUGGAAGACAUUGCCAGGUGGGUA